rnacentral:tRNA from 1 species
UUGGUUGUGUUCUUCAGAAUACUAACUUGUCGAGUUAGAGGAUCUAAUAAUAAACACAACAAAA